rnacentral:snRNA from 1 species
UCUGUCUCCAAAAUAAAUAAAUGAAACUGGGACGACACAGAGAAGAUGAGCAUGGCCCCUGCCCAAGGAUGACAUGCAGAUUUGUGAAGCAUUCCAUAUUUCU